rnacentral:tRNA from 1 species
GGUAGAGCGACGUCUCCGGUGGGGCGCGCGGCCUUCAAAGCCGUUGAGCUGCUGUUAAAGUGGCUGGUGGGUUCGACUCCUACCUCUACCGCCA